CACGUAGGGUGCGAGCGUUGUCCGGAAUUAUUGGGCGUAAAGAGCUCGUAGGCGGUGUGUCACGUCGGCCGUGAAAACCUGCAGCUUAACUGUGGGCGUGCGGUCGAUACGGGCAUCACUGGAGUUCGGCAGGGGAGACUGGAAUUCCUGGUGUAGCGGUGAAAUGCGCAGAUAUCAGGAGGAACACCGGUGGCGAAGGCGGGUCUCUGGGCCAAUACUGACGCUGAGGUGCGAAAGCGUGGGGAGCAAACAGG
rnacentral:rRNA from 1 species